AUGGUCUGUGGGGUCAAACCAGGAACACAGCUUGGGCUCAGGGAGUGGGCAUCAAUCUCAUGGAUCAGUUGGUAGGCUGCUGAAUAAUAUGAACAAACAUUCAUGGUGUCCCAGGUGCCUUCCUGAUAAGUUGUUAAGUUGAACCUACCCUCAAUCUGUGCAGGGAACUCACCAAUAAUGGGAGAUAUGUUACAGAAUCUGAAACUAAGAGUUAAAGCUGAAAGACAUUGACAUGGAGUGAUCCAGUGUGUACAGGCCUGUGAAACAGCACAGGGCAGGAAGCUAAUGUGACAAAAACAAUAACAUUUAUCACUUACCUGCUGUGAUUCUGAAGGAGAAUUUCAGAAGAUUUGUGGUUUUCAG